UAUCAGAAUUGACAAGUGCCUGUCCGGGAU
rnacentral:piRNA from 1 species